rnacentral:rRNA from 1 species
AUUGAACGCUGGCGGUAUGCUUAACACAUGCAAGUCGAACGAUGAGAAAGAGCUUGCUCUUUCGAUUAGUGGCGGACGGGUGCGUAACGCGUAGGAAUCUACCUAUUAGUGGGGGACAACUUAGGGAAACUUAAGCUAAUACCGCAUACGCCCUACGGGGGAAAGAAGGGGAUCGCAAGACCUUUUGCUAAUAGAUGAGCCUGCGUAGGAUUAGCUAGUUGGUGGGGUAAAAGCUCACCAAGGCGACGAUCCUUAACUGGUUUGAGAGAAUGAUAAGUCACACUGGAAAGGAGACACGGUCCAGACGCCUACGGGAGGCAGCAGUGGGGAAUAUUGGACAAUGGGCGAAAGCCUGAUCCAGCAAUACCGCGUGUGUGAAGAAGGCCUUAGGGUUGUAAAGCACUUUCAAUUGGAAGGAAAACCUCGAAGCUAAUACCUUCGAGUUUGACAUUACCUUUAGAAGAAGCACCGGCUAACUCCGUGCCAGCAGCCGCAGUAACAC